AUUGAACGCUGGCGGCAUGCCUUACACAUGCAAGUCGAACGGUAACAGGUCUUCGGAUGCUGACGAGUGGCGAACGGGUGAGUAAUACAUCGGAACGUGCCCAGACGUGGGGGAUAACGAGGUGAAAGCUUUGCUAAUACCGCAUACGAUCUAAGGAUGAAAGCAGGGGACCGCAAGGCCUUGCGCGUUUGGAGCGGCCGAUGGCAGAUUAGGUAGUUGGUGGGAUAAAAGCUUACCAAGCCGACGAUCUGUAGCUGGUCUGAGAGGACGACCAGCCACACUGGGACUGAGACACGGCCCAGACUCCUACGGGAGGCAGCAGUGGGGAAUUUUGGACAAUGGGCGAAAGCCUGAUCCAGCAAUGCCGCGUGCAGGAUGAAGGCCUUCGGGUUGUAAACUGCUUUUGUACGGAACGAAAAGGCUCUGGCUAAUACCUGGGGCACAUGACGGUACCGUAAGAAUAAGCACCGGCUAACUACGUG
rnacentral:rRNA from 1 species